rnacentral:rRNA from 1 species
AGUGAACGCUGGCGGUAGGCCUAACACAUGCCAGUCGAACGGCAGCACAGUAAGAGCUUGCUCUUACGGGUGGCGAGUGGCGGACGGGUGAGGAAUACAUCGGAAUCUACUUUUUCGUGGGGGAUAACGUAGGGAAACUUACGCUAAUACCGCAUACGACCUACGGGUGAAAGCAGGGGAUCUUCGGACCUUGCGCGAUUGAAUGAGCCGAUGUCGGAUUAGCUAGUUGGCGGGGUAAAGGCCCACCAAGGCGACGAUCCGUAGCUGGUCUGAGAGGAUGAUUCGCCCAACGGGAAGUGGACACGGGUCAAGCCCCCCAGGGGAGGCAGCAGUGGGGAAUAUUGGAAAAGGGGGGAAAGCCUGAACCACCCAAACCGGGUGGGUGAAGAAGGCCUUCGGGUUGUAAAGCCCUUUUGUGGGGAAAAAAAAGCAGCAGGUUAAUACCCCGCUGUUCGGACGGUACCAAAAGAAUAAGCACCGGCAAACUGCGG